CACUUGAGUGGUAGCAGCAUCUACCAAUCCAAGAGCUGGGGAAGCACACAGGAAGAACACACACAUGCAGCUGAACAGCUAACAACACUGGUGACCCUGACUACUGAUCUGUUCUUCUUCCCUGCCUUGUCAUGGGUGGAUGUCUGAGGCAGGAUCAGAAUGGCAGAUGACAGCUUGUUUUUGCAUGUAGAGUUGAGUGAUCCCACUGGAUGUGGCCAUCCCGUCGGAAGAGUAUGAGACAGCUUACGUUUGGGGCACUUUUUCUAGCCCCCUCCCCAUUUGGGGUGAGCAGAGGGGAUCCUAAAAAGGCCGGUUCAGUCACAGCCGCUGCUGCCGAAAUGCACUUCUGUCUCAUCCAAGCACAAGACGACCUUCACAUGGCUGCCGCCUGCAUGCAGUUUUAAAGAUUCCCAGAAAUCACGGCUCCUGUCUUCACCGCCACUCAUCUGUUGCCACAGAGUUCUGAGCCCUUUGGCAGAGGACUGUGCGUGAAAUCUUUUAACGUGGGGAAACCGGUGCACAGGAGACUUGACAGGAGGAAAACCCUGACCCAGUGGCAAGGAGAUCCAAGACAACCAGGGGCCUCCCUCCUGCUGCAGCCCUCAGCCGCCUUCACAGCCGCACAGUACUAAAAGGUCCUCUACAUGUGCCUAAUCCACCAGUGGGGUCUUGUGAAGUUUGGACCACGGUUAGUCAGGAGCCUUGUCUCAGACCUGCUCACCAAGGGGGACCCUAACAGAAGUAUGAAAGCUCCAGAUGAUAUAGCUCUGAGGGUCUUUAGCCCACGCAAACCUCUCCACCAUGACAAGGUUGUGGUCCAUCAGAGAGGAAACAAAAAACAACCAGGACAUGCAGGUCCAGAAGCAGGCAAGCGCUCCUGUGGCUGCUAGAUGGUGCUGCAGCUUCGCACUUUCCUACUCUCCAGAUUAUCUGAAUGUUUGAGUAUCUAAUUUGGUCUUGGGUCCCUGUUAGAUUGGAUAAAUUGGGAUCUGCUGUACUAUAUUUUAUUCUAGAGCAGGGGUUCUCAAACUGGGAGUCAGGACCCCUCAGGUGGUCGUGAGGUUAUUACAUGGGAGGUCGCGAGCUGUCAUCCUCCACCCCAAACCCCGCUUU